rnacentral:rRNA from 1 species
AUUGAACGCUGGCGGCAUGCCUUACACAUGCAAGUCGAACGGCAGCACGGGAGCAAUCCUGGUGGCGAGUGGCGAACGGGUGAGUAAAGUAUCGGAACGUGCCCAGUCGUGGGGGAUAACGUAGCGAAAGUUACGCUAAUACCGCAUACGAUCUAUGGAUGAAAGCGGGGGAUCGCAAGACCUCGCGCGAUUGGAGCGGCCGAUAUCAGAUUAGGUAGUUGGUGGGGUAAAGGCUCACCAAGCCGACGAUCUGUAGCUGGUCUGAGAGGACGACCGGCCACACUGGGACUGAGACACGGCCCAGACUCCUACGGGAGGCAGCAGUGGGGAAUUUUGGACAAUGGGCGAAAGCCUGAUCCAGCCAUGCCGCGUGCAGGAUGAAGGCCUUCGGGUUGUAAACUGCUUUUGUACGGAACGAAAAGGUUUGGCCUAAUAAGCUGAGCUCAUGACGGUACCGUAAGAAUAAGCACCGGCUAACUACGUGCCAGCAGCCGCCGUAAUAC